UGAUUUUGAUCCUGGCUCGAUUGAACGCUGGUGGCAGGCCUAACACAUGCAAGUCGAGCGGAAACGAGUUAUCUGAACCUUCGGGGAACGGAAACGGCGUCGAGCGGCGGACGGGUGAGUAAUGCCUAGGAAAUUGCCCUGAUGUGGGGGAUAACCAUUGGAAACGAUGGCUAAUACCGCAUGAUGCCUACGGGCCAAAGAGGGGGACCUUCGGGCCUCUCGCGUCAGGAUAUGCCUAGGUGGGAUUAGCUAGUUGGUGAGGUAAGGGCUCACCAAGGCGACGAUCCCUAGCUGGUCUGAGAGGAUGAUCAGCCACACUGGAACUUAGACACGGUCCAGACUCCUACGGGAGGCAGCAGUGGGGAAUAUUGCACAAUGGGCGCAAGCCUGAUGCAGCCAUGCCGCGUGUAUGAAGAAGGCCUUCGGGUUGUAAAGUACUUUCAGUCGUGAGGAAGGUAGUGUAGUUAAUAGCUGCAUUAUUUGACGUUAGCGACAGAAGAAGCACCGGCUAACUCCGUGCCAGCAGCCGCGGUAAUACGGAGGGUGCGAGCGUUAAUCGGAAUUACUGGGCGUAAAGCGCCGCAGGUGGUUUGUUAAGUCAGAUGUGAAAGCCCGGGGCUCAACCUCGGAAUAGCAUUUGAAACUGGCAGACUAGAGUACUGUAGAGGGGGGUUUAAUUUCAGGUGUAGCGGUGAAAUGCGUAGAGAUCUGAAGGAAUACCGGUGGCGAAGGCGGCCUCC
rnacentral:rRNA from 1 species